AAUCAACGCUGGCGGCGUGCCUCAGACAUGCAAGUCGAACGCGAAAGUCCCCUUCGGGGGAUGAUUAGAGUGGCGCACGGGUGAGUAACACGUAGGUAAUCUACCUUCGAGUGGGGAAUAACUCAGGGAAACUUGAGCUAAUACCGCAUAAUGCAGCGGCACCACAUGGUGACAGUUGUUAAAGCAUUUAUGCGCUUGAAGAGGAGCCUGCGGCGGAUAGCUAGUUGGUAAGGUAAUGCUUACCAAGGCUACGAUCUGUAACCGGCCUGAGAGGGCGGACGGUCACACUGACACUGAA
rnacentral:rRNA from 1 species